UACAUACUCCCUCCGUCCGGAAAUACUUGUCAUCAAAAUGAAUAAAAGGGGAUGUAUCUAGAUGUAUAUUAGUUCUAGAUACAUCCUUUUUUAUCUAUUUUGAUGACAAGUAUUUUCGGACGGAGGGAGUAUAUC
rnacentral:pre_miRNA from 1 species